AUUGAACGCUGGCGGCAUGCCUUACACAUGCAAGUCGAACGGCAGCACGGGAGCAAUCCUGGUGGCGAGUGGCGAACGGGUGAGUAAAGUAUCGGAACGUGCCCAGUCGUGGGGGAUAACGUAGCGAAAGUUACGCUAAUACCGCAUACGAUCUAUGGAUGAAAGCGGGGGAUCGCAAGACCUCGCGCGAUUGGAGCGGCCGAUAUCAGAUUAGGUAGUUGGUGGGGUAAAGGCUCACCAAGCCGACGAUCUGUAGCUGGUCUGAGAGGACGACCAGCCACACUGGGACUGAGACACGGCCCAGACUCCUACGGGAGGCAGCAGUGGGGAAUUUUGGACAAUGGGCGAAAGCCUGAUCCAGCCAUGCCGCGUGCAGGAUGAAGGCCUUCGGGUUGUAAACUGCUUUUGUACGGAACGAAAAGGUUUGGCCUAAUAAGCUGAGCUCAUGACGGUACCGUAAGAAUAAGCACCGGCUAACUACGUGCCAGCAGCCGCCGCCG
rnacentral:rRNA from 1 species